rnacentral:rRNA from 1 species
GAUGAACGCUGGCGGCGUGCCUAAUACAUGCAAGUCGAACGAACCUUCUUUAACCUUGCGUGUCUGCGCUUACCGACAAAGAGUUGAGUGACGCAUGGGUGGGCAACCUGUGGGAAUCCUGUCCAUACGAGGGGGCUAACCUAAGGCAACAGGAGAUAUUACAGCACAACCAUAGUUAGUGCAAGGCAAUUUUGCAAAAGCUGGUAAAUCUACCGCCUCUGCAUGGGCUCGCGGCGCAUUAGCUAGUUGGUAGGGUAAAGGCUUACCAAGGCAACGAUGCGUAGCCGAAUUGAGAGGGUGAUCGGCCACAUUGGAACUGAGACACGGCCCAGACUCCUACGGGAGGCAGCAGUAGGGAAUCUUCCGCAAUGGGCGAAAGCCUGAUGGAGCAACGCCGCGUGAGUGAAGAAGGUCUUCGGAUCGUAAAACCCUGUUAUUAGGGAAGAAAAUACGUGAAAGUAACUGUGCACGUUUCGACGGUAGCUAACCAGAAAGCCACGGCUAACUACGUG